GACCUCGAACAGAAGGCCAAGCAGCUGGACGCCAGGGAAGAUGAUCUGAAGAAGCAGGAUGCUUUCUAUCGGGAGCAGGUGGCCCGGCUGGAGGAGAGGAGCGCUCAGUUCUACAAGGUCACCACUGAGAACUACCAUCAAGCUGCAGACCAAGUGAGCGCCAAAUUCAAGAGGUAUGAGGUGUUUCCUGUGUGUGCAGACCUGCAGGGCCAGAUCCUUGCAUGCUACAAAGACAACACUGGGAAAACCCUGAACUGCUCCAACAUCGCAGCCCGUUACCUGCAGUGUGUCAACGAAGCUAAACAGAACAAGUUGAGGACUGGGGGCUAAGGAUAAGCGAGUGAAAGAAGGAGCAAUGAAGAGCAUAUUGUGAGGGAUUAUAGAUUGACGGACUGACUGACGGACUAAAGCGGAGGAGAGGAUGAGAGGAAUGAGUCAGCACCAAGACACACACACAACCCUGUGGAGAACCCAACCCCGAGUAGAGGCCGCUGAUCCCAGCUCCCUGAGACAGAAGUAGACGCCUUUUCCUUCGGUUCUUCCCCACCUAUGUGAGCAUGACAGAGGGCGGGAAACUCUCUCCAUCACUCUGGAGACACAAGUAGAGGACCGGGUCACGCCUGGCCUGAGCACGGACGACAUACACUCAAGAAUCCAGCACAAUCAUCUCCAGAAACCCAACUCUGUCACGAGUAACUUUGACCCAUCCUCAAUCACCUUCUUAGGAAACAAGACGUAUUCGUGCUACAUAAGUCUGUCGUAUUUUGUUCUCCAUUAUUUAUUGUUUUUCUGCUCCUCGUGCACUGUUUGUCUGCACAGAAACACAUGUGUGUACCUGUUUGGUCUAUUUGUGAUUGUGUAAUCGUACAUGAUGAUGUUUCACCGGAGAAAAUAAAAGACGAAACAGUG